rnacentral:rRNA from 1 species
AUUGAACGCUGGCGGCAGGCCUAACACAUGCAAGUCGAGCGGAGCGGCGGACGGGUGAGUAAUGCCUAGGAAUCUGCCUGGUAGUGGGGGAUAACGUCCGGAAACGGGCGCUAAUACCGCAUACUAUCAGAUGAGCCUAGGUGGGAUUAGCUAGUUGGUGGGGUAAAGGCCUACCAAGGCGACGAUCCGUAACUGGUCUGAGAGGAUGAUCAGUCAAACCUGAAACGAGACACUGUCCAAAAUCCUACGGGAGGCCGCAGUGGGGAAUAUUGGACAAUGGGCGCAAGCCUGGUCCAGCCAUGCCGCGUGUGUGAAGAAGGUCUUCGGAUUGUAAAGCACUUUAAGUUGGGAGGCGUUACCCGCAGAAGAAGCACCGGCUAACUCCGUGCCAGCAGGCGCGGUAAUUC